rnacentral:pre_miRNA from 14 species
CCCGGCCUGGCCGCCCUCUGCGCCUGCCUGGCGUCGAGCCCGACGUGCAAGACCUGACGUGAAUGUUUUGUUCGUUCGGCUCGCGUUAGGCAGGCCCAGCCUGUCUGCACCCCGCCAC